GGGAAAGGGAUAGCCUUCUUUAUUCUUCCUUUUUUUGUUUUAGUGUAGUUUCAUACAAGACUUUGCGUGGGAAGGGCCACAUCACAUGCAUGUGCGACAUUUGUUACCUGUCACUGUUAUCUCCUACAAAACAUUUUCUUUUUAUUUUUCAUUCUUAAUGCAACAUUUUAUCUUAAUUAUAUUAUCAUCCAUUAAAUUUCUGAUAUAUAUAUCCUUUAACUUGGUAUAAUAAGUUUAUCUUCUUCAACUUCAUCAUUGUUCGAAUUGGUUUCCUUCUUAGAUAACAAAUACUUUGUCUGCCACGCCGUUGUCUCUUCCACAGGGACUCAAUCUCUGCACCCUAAUCAAAUCACAUUCGCCAACCCUACACUUACUUAUCUCUGCUAUUUCUAAUUCUUACCUUUUCAAUCAAAAAUAUUUUAUAUUUUUUUCUUUUUCACUCAUAUUUAUCUUCUGUUCAUUUAGGUCUAGAUUAUGUGUAACUAUCUGUCUUUGCUUUUGAUAUUUAUUAUCAUUAAUAUCAGUAAAAGAUAAUUCAUUAGCGAUGUUGGUUUAUAUAUUAAAAGAAGACGUGACAAAUAUAUGUAAUCAAGAUCGAAUCGAAAC
rnacentral:lncRNA from 1 species